rnacentral:rRNA from 1 species
GUUUGAUUAUGGCUCAGGAUGAACGCUAGCUACAGGCUUAACACAUGCAAGUCGAGGGGCAGCAUGGAGUUGCUUGCAAACUCUGAUGGCGACCGGCGCACGGGUGAGUAACGCGUAUCCAACCUUCCCUAUAGUAGAGGAUAGCCCGGCGAAAGUCGGAUUAAUACUCUAUGUUUUCCGUUGCAGACAUCUAAGAUGGAACAAAGGCUUGCCGCUAUAGGAUGGGGGAUGCGUCUGAUUAGGUAGUCGGCGGGGUAACGGCCCACCGAGCCAUCGAUCAGUAGGGGUUCUGAGAGGAAGGUCCCCCACAUUGGAACUGAGACACGGUCCAAACUCCUACGGGAGGCAGCAGUGAGGAAUAUUGGUCAAUGGACGAGAGUCUGAACCAGCCAAGUAGCGUGCAGGACGACGGCCCUAUGGGUUGUAAACUGCUUUUAUGCGGGGAUAAAGUUCACUACGUGUAGUGCUUUGUAGGUACCGCAUGAAUAAGGACCGGCUAAUUCCGUGCCAGCCGCGGC